AACGAACGCUGGCGGCGUGGAUUAGGCAUGCAAGUCGAACGCGAAAGAGGGAGCAAUCCCUCAAGUAGAGUGGCGAACGGGUGAGUAACGCGUGAAGAACCUGCCUUCAACAGGGGGAUAACACUCCCAACGGGGUGCUAAUACCGCAUGAGACCACGGGUCCGCAUGGACCUGAGGUCAAAGGUGGCCUCUGCUUGCAAGCUACCGGUUGAAGAUGGCUUCGCGUCCCAUUAGCUAGCUGGCGGUGUAAAAGACCACCAAGGCGACGAUGGGUAGCUGGUCUGAGAGGAUGGUCAGCCACACUGGGACUGAGAUACGGCCAGACUCCUACGGGAGCAGCAGUCGAGAGCUUUGGCAAUGGGGAAACCCUGACCAAGCGACGCCGCGUGGAGGAUGAAGG
rnacentral:rRNA from 1 species